GUUUUGAAUUCUUGGGUUCCUGUGAUCUUCCUGCCUCGGCCUCCCAAAGUGCUGGAUUGCAGGGUAAUCACUUUGAUCAAUAUGAAGAGGGACACUUGGAAAUUGAACAAGCAUCACUUGAUAAGCCUACGGAAUCCAUAAGAUGAUCGUUGCUUAAUUUUGGGUCUUAACCAGUUAGGGGUAAGAAAGUUGUAAAUAGACGCUGAGCACUGGGGUAAGGGAAUGCUUUUCCUGGCAGUUCAUUUGGGAGGAUAAUAUUGGACACUGCUUACUCCAGAAACAUGGGUGGAAGCUGGGCCAGGGAUUGGGAAAAUCUUUUCAAGAUUUCAUCCCACUUUAAAAUACCAAUGCUUCUCAUGGAAAAACAAAGAGAUUCCACUAACUCACAGACACCUGUGCUCCAUGUAUCUAUCAGCAAGUAUAGCUGCAUGGACAGACAAUAGUUGCUUGCUUCUUUAU